GAUAAUAAUAAUUGAAUAUAUAUAUAUUUAUUUUUUAUAAAAUAAGUUUAAUAAUAAAAUUGUUUUAGUAAAAUUUUUAACUAAUUGAAAUUUAAUUAUAGAAUUUGUAAGGUAACUGAAAAUUAAUAAAUAUAAAUAUAAUUAAAAAAGUAAAUUUUAUUAAUUUUACCUUUUGUAUCAGGGAUAAUUAAACUAAAAAUUUAUUAUUUUAAUUUAUCUCGAAAAGAAAAGAGCUAAUUAAUUAUGAUUGUUAGUAUUGCAUAACUAUAAUUAAUAGUUAAUUAUGAGUGAAAUGCUAAUAGUUUUUUUUGUUAUCUAGUUUUUAAAGAAAUAAAUUCAAUUUAGGUACAAAAUAUAAUUUAUAUAAAUAUUUAAUUUUAUAUAAUUUUUUGUACUAAAUAUUUAAGGGAUAAACUUUAAAUAUAUUUUAUAAAUAAUUGUAAUUAAAUUUGUAAGAUCAUAUAAUUUAAAAUUUUAAUUGAUAAUUUGUAUAUUAUAAUUUACUUACAUUAAAAAUAAAAUUUGCAUUUAAUUUUAAAUUGAUUAUUUAAAAACUAAUUUUAAUUUUUAAAAUUAGAAUAAAAUGAUUAUAUUAGUAUAAAUAUAUUUUAUUAAGUAUAAUAAAAUAUAUAAUUAUUUUUAUUAAGGAACUCGACAAAUAUUGUUUAUGUAACGUUUAAGUCCACCUGUUUAUCAAAAACAUGUCUUUUUGAAUUAUAAUUUUAAGUCUGUUCUGCUCAAUGUAUAACUAUAUAAAUAGCCGCAGUAUACUUGACUGUGCAAAGGUAGCAAAAUCAUUAGCUUUCUAAUUAAGAGCUUGUAUGAACGAAUGAAUGAGAUUUAUAUUGUCUCAAUAAAAUAAUUAAAAGUUAAACUUUCAGUAAAAAUGCUGAAAUUUUUUUAAGGGACGAGAAGACCCUGUAGAAUUUUACAUUUUAAUUAUUGUUGAAGAUUUGGUUAUUGUAUUUAUACAAAAUAAUUUUGCAUUAAUUAAUAAUGUUUUGCUGGGGAAGCUUCUGAAUUUAAUUAACUUCAGAGUAUAAUUAUUAUUAACAAUUAUAAUUGAAAUUAAUGAAACAAUUUUUUAGUUAAUAGAAAAAUUACCUCAGGGAUAACAGCGUAAUAUUUUUUUUAAGAUCAUAUUUAAAAAAAUGAUUGCGACCUCGAUGUUGAAUUAAGAUAAAAGUUAAAUCGCAUAAGUUUAAUAUUUAAGUCUGUUCGACUUUUAAAAUCUUACAUGAUUUGAGUUCAGAUCGACGUAAGUCAGAUCGGUUUCUAUCUUUAAAUAUUAUAAAAUAAUUUUGUACGAAAGGAUCAAUUAUUUGAAAAAUUUUCUUUAUUUUGAAUAAAAAUAAUUU
rnacentral:rRNA from 1 species